AAAUUAAUAUUUAUGUAUUUUAAUAUUCUCGAUUUUAGAAGAGCUAACUAUCUAUAAUUUUUAUCGUUGAAUAGAUAUUUUUAAUUGUUAGUUAGAGGCGAAACGUUAUUCGUUUCUAAUGUAUCUAGUUUUUUCAGAAACAGAUUUAAUCUGCUUUAUUUUUUCGAGUUUUCAUUUUGUUGAUUGUUCGUAUUUAUGAGGCUAUACUUUAAGGGAUGAGCUUUGGGGUAUAUUUCUAUAACAUAUAUUUAUUUUAAAAUAUGUAGGAUUAGAAGUUUUCAUUGUUUGGAGGAUGUUAUAAUUAUUUUUGUUUAAUUUUAAUAUUUCUAUAUUGUUUAGGUUUUUAUGGAAAAAUUUUCUUGAAUGUUUUAAGUUUAGUAAUAAUGAUAAAAUUAGUAUAUUUAUUUGUUUUAUUCUUACUUUUUCCAAGAUUAAUAAAAGGAACUCGGCAAAUUAUUUUUCACCUGUUUAUUAAAAACAUGUCUUUUUGAUUAUGAUUUAAAGUCUGUCCUGCCCACUGAGAUUUUUAACGGCCGCGGUAUUCU
rnacentral:rRNA from 1 species